CUCAAGGAUUACAGCCUGAGCAAGAACUACAGUUGUGGAAUGAGCUAAAUGAUGUCUGCUCAUCUUUCCUGUCCCUUGAUUCUCAGACUCAGGAUUCUGAAGCCUUUCAGGAGCUUUGCUUUACAAUUCUG